rnacentral:rRNA from 1 species
CGUGUAGGCGGCUUGAUAAGUCAGAUGUGAAAGCCCUGGGCUUAACCCAGGAAGUGCAUUUGAAACUGUUAGGCUUGAGUAAGGGAGAGGAAGGUGGAAUUCCUGGUGUAGAGGUGAAAUUCGUAGAUAUCAGGAGGAACACCGGUGGCGAAGGCGACCUUCUGGCCCUAUACUGACGCUGAGACGCGAAAGCGUGGGUAGCAAACA